rnacentral:rRNA from 1 species
AUUGAACGCUGGCGGCAGGCCUAACACAUGCAAGUCGAGCGGAGCGGCGGACGGGUGAUUAAUGCCUAGGAAUCUGCCUGGUAGUGGGGGAUAACGUCCGGAAACGGGCGCUAAUACCGCAUACUAUCAGAUGAGCCUAGGGCGGAUUAGCUAGGUGGUGGGGUAAAGGCCUACCAAGGCGACGAUCCGAAGCUGGUCUGAGAGGGUGAUCAGUCACACCGGAACUGAGACACGGUCCAGACUCCUACGGGAGGCAGCAGUAGGGAAUAUUGGGCAAUGGGCGAAAGUCUGAUCCAGCCAUGCCGCGUGAGUGAAGAAGGUUUUCGGAUUGUAAAGCACUGUAAGUUGGGAGGCGGUACCAACAGAAUAAGCAACGGCUAACUUCGUGCCAGCAGCCGCGGUAAUUC